GUGGGUUACAGCAAGCACAGGGGCAUGGGCCACGACAACGACAGCUAUAUUCGGUCCGGGUUUUUCACCGUCGGCGGCCACAACUGGGCCAUCUCCUUCUUCCCUGAUGGUUUCAAUGGAUAUAGCCAAGAUUACAUCUCGGUUUAUCUCGUCCUUGUGAGCCACAGAACUAAAGUCCGGGCAUCCUGCGACAUGAGGCUGGUGGACCAGUACACCGGAUGCUCGUUUUCAGUGCAUAACAUAGGACCUAGGAUUUUCAAUCCCGCUGAUACUACUAGGGUUGCUCCACAGACUCCUUGUUUCAUAAGGCGGGACGAGAUCGAGGGAUCUGCAUACCUUAGGGAUGAUCGCCUCACGAUUGAAUGUGUUGUCACUGUCUUCAAGAAGCCACAUGUUACCGAAACCAAAUCGCUCCCCGUAAUCGACAUACCACCAGCUGACAUGACUGAGCAUGUUGCCAAGCUGCUCGAAGAAAAGAAGGGAUUUGAUGUCAGUUUCAUUGUUGGAGGAGAGACCAUUGAAGCGCAUAGGUUUGUUCUCGCUAUGCGGUCUCCUGUUUUUAAAGCAGAGCUCUAUGGGUCAAUGCGGGAGGCAAGGCCGGGGCAGUGCAUAACCAUCAAGGACAUGCAACCUGCUGUUUUCAAGGCCCUGCUCCAUUUUAUCUAUACUGACUCCUUGCCUAGCGACGAGGAUACUGAGAUGGUCCGGCUUUUACUAGUGGCUGCUGACAGAUAUGCAAUGGAUAGACUCAAGUUGGUUUGCCAAAGCAUCCUUUGCGAGGAUCUGAACAAGGACACCGUGGCAACCACAUUGGCUUUAGCUGAACAACAUAACUGCCUCCAGCUUAAGGAUGCUUGCCUUCAGUUUAUUGAAUUAUUAGGUUUCAAGGAUCUCAAGGCGACUUGCCCAUCUUUCAUAGAGGACGUAUUGAAGAAGAGAAGAAAAGUUUCAUGA
rnacentral:rRNA from 1 species